rnacentral:rRNA from 1 species
AUAGUUUGAUGAUGGCUCAGAUUGAACGCUGGCGGCAGGCUUAACACAUGCAAGUCGAGCGGUAACAGGCCUUCGGGUGCUGACGAGCGGCGGACGGGUGAGUAAUGCAUAGGAAACUGCCCAGUAGUGGGGGAUAGCCCGGGGAAACCCGGAUUAAUACCGCGUACGCCCUGAGGGGGAAAGCAGGGGAUCUUUUGACCUUGCGCUAUUGGAUGUGCCUAUGCCGGAUUAGCUAGUUGGUGGGGUAAGAGCCUACCAAGGCGACGAUCCGUAGCUGGUCUGAGAGGAUGAUCAGCCACAUCGGGACUGAGACACGGCCCGAACUCCUACGGGAGGCAGCAGUGGGGAAUAUUGGACAGUGGGGGCAACCCUGAUCCAGCCAUGCCGCGUGUGUGAAGAAGGCUUUCGGGUUGUAAAGCACUUUCAGUGAGGAGGAAAACCUGACGGUUAAUACCCGUAUGGGCUUGGCGUUACUCACAGAAGAAGCACCGGCUAACUCCGUGCCAGCAGCCGCGGUAAUACGGAGGGUGCAAGCGUUAAUCGGAAUUACUGGGCGUAAAGCGCGCGUAGGUGGUUUGAUAAGCGAGAUGUGAAAGCCCCGGGCUUAACCUGGGAACGGCAUUUCGAACUGUCAGGCUAGAGUAUGGUAGAGGAGUGUGGAAUUUCCUGUGUAGCGGUGAAAUGCGUAGAUAUAGGAAGGAACACCAGUGGCGAAGGCGGCACUCUGGACCAAUACUGACAC